GGGGCCGAUCCGGAAUCGACCGGACAGGGAAGGCAUUUCGUGGCGCGUCGUGGAGCAUCCUUGCCACGUAAAAAGGAUGCACAAUUAUACUUGCCAACACGCAGUAUGCCCUCGCAGCCUAAUUAGGCUUCGCAGUCGUCGUCUGACGCCCGAUGGGGCGACGACUGAAAAACAUCGGGCUGGUCCCAAAGGGCUGACCGGCCUCGGCGGGACGAGAAACUCGCCGGUUUUGACAAGAUGAAACGCUGUCGUUUGCGGUUCUUCAAGUCGAGAUCAAAGAAACGACUACACGCGUAGAGGCGAUUUGCUGACUGUUUCGGCACGGGGGUUCGAAUCCCCCCGGCUCCACUU
rnacentral:tmRNA from 1 species